AUUUAUGGGCAGAGAAUCUGUCGCCGUUCUUAAUCCGUAUAUAAACAGAGAGCCCAAUUCUGAAGAGAAACAGAACGAACUUCCCCGAAUUAUGCUUCCUUCCAAUCUUCUCCUCCGGCUGUAAAUUUGUUCUUGCUUCCAUCAAUCCCGUGCUCGUGCUCUGAACAUGGUUCUAUCUCUCUCUCUGUCUCUACUGGAUGAUAUUGCUUUUUUAGUAUUGUUUUCAAUUAUUGGAAACUUUAUCUGAGCGAAGUUUCUGAUCAAUUGUCGUUAGUUCUCGUCAAGAAUGUAGGUUGAUUUUAUGUUAAUCGAAAGUGAAUUUUGAAGGUUAGUGGAUGAUCUUUAGGCGUUAGGCAUUUGGAUUUCGAGAAAACGAAUUUGAAGAAAACGAAGACGGACAACAAUGAGUGUUGAAACCGAAGUGGUGCCUUGGGAUGGAUUUUGGUACCUCUAGGGCAUGAUUUGCUCUGAUUGACAUUGAAGGGACGUCUGUGCGGAAGGAAAGAGGGAGUGACUACUCUAUAAGGUUGGCUAUGAUCCUGAAAUUGAUUCUUAGUCUUACCCUCCCUGGCUUCUUGCUCAACCACAUUCUCAAUCACAAUUUGGUAAUGUUUCCUAUUUUGGCCUUUCAAUUAUCUUGAACCUUUGUUCAAGAUGCUAUUUUAAACUUCAACUUAAAAUUUAAGUUAUAUCCAUUGUUAUUAAACAUAAAUUGUGGACCUACCCUAAGUUCACGAGUGACAUUAAAAUUUGACAUCCAAUUCAACUUUGGACAUUUCAUUUCCAUUUUUCAUUAAAGAGAGGGUGAUCAAUCUCAUUCUCGUCUCAUUACGUGGGACUCACACUAUUUAUUUUA